GCUGUGGUGGUCCAGUGGUAGAGCUCUCGCCUUCCAUGUGGGAGACCUGGGUUUGAUUUCUGGCCAAGGCA
rnacentral:tRNA from 1 species